rnacentral:rRNA from 1 species
UACGAAGGGGGGCUAGCGUUUGUUCGGGAAUUACUGGGCGUAAAGCGCGCGUAGGCGGCUAUUCAAGUCAGAGGUGAAAAGCCCCGGGGGCUCAACCCCGGGAACUGCCUUUGAAACUAGGUAGCUAGAAUCUUGGAGAGGCGAGUGGAAUUCCGGAGUGUAGAGGUGAAAAUUCGUAGAUAUUCGGAAGAACACCAGUGGCGAAGGCGACUCGCUGGACAAGUAUUGACGCUGAGGUGCGAAAGCGUGGGGAGCAACAGGAU